GCAGUUUGGGACAGGAAGCUCCUGCACGUAGGUCCCCUGGCUCCCAUCCAGUGCUCUUUAGAUGAAGAAACUGAGGUUCAGAGAGGUUAAGAGACUCCACUGAGGUCACACAGCCGAUGACAGACAACCUUCUGUGCCUUCAUCAAGCUGGUUGUGUACCCACCAUGUCCCUGGCGACAGGUUGGGAAAGAAAAAGCCCUAAUUAAGGAUCAUCAGAAACCACAGUUGGAGGAGGACGGCAGAGACAGUUUCCCUCCCCACUAUACCAAGACCCUUCCUUCGAGGUCCUUGCUCGUGAGGGACCCUGGACUGUCACAGAGAUUAAUGACCCCUUAUCUUCUUUGGAUGGGAAAGGAAAUCACUGGUUAAAGCUUGAUCGAGAGACAUUAUCAGCUCUUUAAGGAUUGCAGAAGAAUAGGCUACUUUAUUUUCUGAAAAGGUAAAUAUAUGCAAGCAAAGCCAACAUGCCACGAAUGGCCUUGGUCUACCACACAGCUGUGUCUGGGACACAGUUGGGGGUCAUCCCCCAGCAGGAGUGAAGUCGAGCUUAGCGGCCCUUGUGUCCUCCCUUGGA
rnacentral:sRNA from 1 species